CAGGGGCUGUUCUUGCAGACAUCUGCUCAGGGUUGCAUGAGCAGAGGUGGACAGGUCUGCAAGAUGAGUCUCAGGGCAGCAUUUUCUGUGCUGAUUUCUUAGUGAAGGCCUGUCCAAAUUAGCCUUCACUCUUGCAAAGACCAUACUAGCUUCUCUUCCAUCGCCACAUAAAUAAGAGAAAGGAAUCUUUUCUGUUUCCUAGAGACUUCAUGGAGAUGGUUCUUCUGCAGGUAGCAGCAUGCCUCUUUGUCACUGGACUUCUGUGGAUAUGGAAUUUCUGUGCCCAGGGACAAGCAAGAUCCUAGGGAAACCUAGGAAAAGCCUUCUUGUAGGCCAUUUUCAAAAAUGGGACUUUCUAGUGCCUUGCAGCCUGUUGGCUUGAAUGCCGUGGUGCUUUCUGGUGUGAUGGAUCUCUGCCCCUGCAAGCAAUUCUGAUAAAAUCAACAGAUAAAACAAAAAAGAAAGUAUCAAAGCACAGAGUGAUAAACCCUCAUCCAGACCGUCUCCCCUCCUCUAGCACAGCCCUCAGACCAGUUCACCAGAGGGGUGCCCCUUCCCCUCCCAGCUGCCAGGGCAGCAGCCUGCUGCAGGGAGCCUCAGGUCUUUUUUUCCGGGAGGAGGAAGCAUUAGUGAUGAAGGUGGAACGGAUUUGCUGCUUCUCUUCCUCAUCAACACAGCUUGUCCACCAACUGCUCUGUGUGGAUCUUAAAAUAGUCUUUUGAGGAUAGGAAACUGCUCAUCAGCUUCAAACCAACAGCUACAUCUUGUGUAAAAGAGAGCAACCCAGGGUGCCGUCGCUGUCUUAGUUUCUCUUUUGUGAGCAGCUGGUGGUUGGUGGGAUGCACUGGGUAUGUUUCCACUGAUCUCGGUUUUAAAAUGCUGUCUUCCUGCUUCCUCUCUCUAUGGGGUUUUGGGGCCAGUGCUGGUCAGGGGCUGAGAUGCCUCCAGAGCCAACAAAGACCAUUCAGCAGUGCUAAAGGGUAACCUGAAGUUUUAAGUGAGUUUGCUAAAUCCUGAAGGUUUGUGACACAUCUGCCCAUCCUUGUGUUUGUAAGUGGAGUCUUUUUGGUGCUGCAUGUGGAGGAUG
rnacentral:lncRNA from 1 species